GCCAGCAGCCAUGUCACCCUGCAACUUACAAUUGGCAACCCACUGAAGCUAAGCAGGUGUGAGCCUGGUCAGUACCUGGAUGGGAGACCUCCUGGGAAAAACUAAGGUUGCUGCUGGAA
ensembl:rRNA 5S_rRNA 5S ribosomal RNA